rnacentral:rRNA from 1 species
ACGCGACCUCAGCUCAGGCGGGGCUACCUGCUGAAAGAAACUAACAAGGAUUCCCCUA